UUGAACGCUGGCGGCAGGCCUAACACAUGCAAGUCGAACGGUAACAGGAAGCAGCUUGCUGCUUCGCUGACGAGUGGCGGACGGGUGAGUAAUGUCUGGGAAACUGCCUGAUGGAGGGGGAUAACUACUGGAAACGGUAGCUAAUACCGCAUAACGUCGCAAGACCAAAGAGGGGGACCUUCGGGCCUCUUGCCAUCGGAUGUGCCCAGAUGGGAUUAGCUAGUAGGUGGGGUAACGGCUCACCUAGGCGACGAUCCCUAGCUGGUCUGAGAGGAUGACCAGCCACACUGGAACUGAGACACGGUCCAGACUCCUACGGGAGGCAGCAGUGGGGAAUAUUGCACAAUGGGCGCAAGCCUGAUGCAGCCAUGCCGCGUGUAUGAAGAAGGCCUUCGGGUUGUAAAGUACUUUCAGCGGGGAGGAAGGGAGUAAAGUUAAUACCUUUGCUCAUUGACGUUACCCGCAGAAGAAGCACCGGCUAACUCCGUGCCAGCAGCCGCGGUAAUACGGAGGGUGCAAGCGUUAAUCGGAAUUACUGGGCGUAAAGCGCACGCAGGCGGUUUGUUAAGUCAGAUGUGAAAUCCCCGGGCUCAACCUGGGAACUGCAUCUGAUACUGGCAAGCUUGAGUCUCGUAGAGGGGGGUAGAAUUCCAGGUGUAGCGGUGAAAUGCGUAGAGAUAGGGAGGAACACCAGUGGCGAAGGCGGCCUACUGGGCUUUAACUGACGCUGAGGCACGAAAGCGUGGGUAGCAAACAGGAUUAGAUACCCUGGUAGUCCACGCCGUAAACGAUGUCGACUUGGAGGUUGUGCCCUUGAGGCGUGGCUUCCGGAGCUAACGCGUUAAGUCGACCGCCUGGGGAGUACGGCCGCAAGGUUAAAACUCAAAUGAAUUGACGGGGGCCCGCACAAGCGGUGGAGCAUGUGGUUUAAUUCGAUGCAACGCGAAGAACCUUACCUGGUCUUGACAUCCACGGAAGUUUUCAGAGAUGAGAAUGUGCCUUCGGGAACCGUGAGACAGGUGCUGCAUGGCUGUCGUCAGCUCGUGUUGUGAAAUGUUGGGUUAAGUCCCGCAACGAGCGCAACCCUUAUCCUUUGUUGCCAGCGGUCCGGCCGGGAACUCAAAGGAGACUGCCAGUGAUAAACUGGAGGAAGGUGGGGAUGACGUCAAAUCAUCAUGCCCCUUACGACCAGGGCUACACACGUGCUACAAUGGCGCAUACAAAGAGAAGCGACCUCGCGAGAGCAAGCGGACCUCAUAAAGUGCGUCGUAGUCCGGAUUGGAGUCUGCAACUCGACUCCAUGAAGUCGGAAUCGCUAGUAAUCGUGGAUCAGAAUGCCACGGUGAAUACGUUCCCGGGCCUUGUACACACCGCCCGUCACACCAUGGGAGUGGGUUGCAAAAGAAGUAGGUAGCUUAACCUUCGGGAGGGCGCUUACCACUUUGUGAUUCAUGACUGGGGUG
rnacentral:rRNA from 1 species